GUGCUUGCUUUGGCAACACAUAUUCUAAAAUUGGAAUACAGAGAAGAUCAGCAUGCCCAUGUGCAAGAAUGACAUGCAAAUCUGUGAACACACUAUAUAUUAUU